rnacentral:rRNA from 1 species
UUCGGAUUGUAGUCUGCAACCCGACUACAUGAAGCCGGAAUCGCUAGUAAUCGCGAAUCAGAAUGUCGCGGUGAAUACGUUCCCGGGCCUUGUACACACCGCCCGUCAAGCCAUGGGAGCCGGGAGUGCCUGAAGGCCGUGACCGCAAGGAGCGGCCUAAGGUAAAACUGGUGACUGGGGCUAAGUCGUAACAAGGUAAC